rnacentral:ncRNA from 1 species
UGAUAGCGUAGAAGCGUGAAGUUGCUGCUUACGAGCAGGUAUCUCCGUGGAGCGAAUGUCAAGUUAUUGAAACUGGCGACAA